GAACUUGCCCUUUAGACUGGGAUAACAGAGGGAAACUUCUGAUAAUACUGGAUAAGUUAGCAUAUCGCAUGAUAUGCAAAUGAAAGCUACGGCACUAAAGGAGAGCUUUGCGUCCUAUUAGCUAGUUGGUAAGGUAAGAGCUUACCAAGGCGAUGAUAGGUAGCCGGCCUGAGAGGGUGGACGGCCACAAGGGGACUGAGAUACGGCCCUUACUCCUACGGGAGGCAGCAGCC
rnacentral:rRNA from 1 species